rnacentral:lncRNA from 1 species
UAUAAUAUUUGGAAACUUUUUACACCAAAGAAGCAGUACAGUCUCGGUAACCAAAUACAAUACAAGAGAAAAAGAGAAUAAACAUCCUAUGGAGCCCUAGGAGCACUCAUCUAAAGCCUUCGAGAUCAGAAGAUAUGUCGCACGAAGCCUCUUCACCCCUCUCUCAUAAGCUGCUUCCAUGUCGGUCCUCUCCUUGGCGAGUUGAUC